AUGUAAAGUACUCAGACAACAGGAGCAGAUGAAAGAAGGAAGAAUGUUGUAGGUCUACAAUGUUUAGUAAAAACUGGGGAAAGAGGGCUCUGCAGUCCAAGUCCGAUCCGAAGUUCGGGAAUCAUUGGAAGGGAGAACUGCAGAAGCCUUCGAGUUGCCCAGCCACAGUCAGCACCAGGACAACAGGUUGAGCAGCAACAUGGAAUACCUGACCAGAGCCUUCCCACUAAGGUGAAAGCAUUCCUUGGUCAAAGUGUAAGUGCUUGCCUAGCUGAGUCUAAACGAGAUGGCUCUGCACUGCAACAGCGAUGCUCUCUAAGACGAUGCCCAGCUAGAGAGUUGUGCCAGCUGUGAUGGAUGCCCCACCUGGCUCAGCAGGAGCAUGUCAUGGAGCCUUCUGCAGACCACGUGAUGUUUGCUCCAGAAGGAGGACUUGCCAAGGACACGUUGCAGUUCCCACUGACACAGU